GUGCUGCCUCAGGCCCCACCAGCUCCCGGCGCCAGCGCUCGUACAGGGAAGCUGCUCUCGAAACACCGCAGAGGGCGCCGGGCGGGAGCCCCGGCCGGGACUGGCCGAAGGGGCGGCAGCGCGAGCCAGAGGAACGGCCCCCGCGGUCUCCGGAUCCAUUCCGCGCCCCUCCGCUCCACCAUCCCUAGGGAGUCGUUGCAGUGACCGCUCUGCAGUAAUUCUCAGAGAGAAGCUAACAGGGUGGUUACCUGGAGUCACUGCAGAGACGACUACCGGUCGGAGAAAACGAAGUUCAGCACCCAGCGGCCCAGGCGCCCGCCACGGCGACCCUUCCCGAUCCCACAGGACUCCGGGCGCGCGUUGAUAACGUCACUUCCGCCAGUUCCACCUCGGCUUUAGCUAGCUGCCCGCGAGGGGCGCCGGCCGUGGUAAGUGUGAGCGCCGUGUGACUUCCUCUGACUCCCUUGGAUACUCGACUUUAGAGAAACAAGAGGCGGGGCGGAGCGCUUCUGGCUUCCGGGAGAAGCCACCCUACCAAAAUAUGUUGAUUGGUCGCUGCUGGAUGUAGACAAGAUAUUGAUUUUUAAAUAUUGACUGUUUAAACCAACUAGCGGUGUGAUAUUGAGCAAGUUACCAGACCGCUCCACCUCAGUUUCUUCAUGUAUAGGAUGGAAUGGGAAUACCGCUUGUCCUCUAAGAACAAUGUGAGAAGAAUUAAGGAAAUGCAUGAACAGUGCCUGGCGCGCGGUAAGCGGUAAAGUUGGACCCCAGAGGACCUCUCCUAUGGUUCAGUUCAGUCGUGUUAGACUCUUUGUGACUCCAUGGACUGCAGCACGCCAGGCUUUCCUGUCCAUCACCAACUCCCAGAGCUUGCUCAAACUCAUGUCCAUCAAGUCGGUGAUGCCAUUCAACCGUCUAAUCCUCUAUCUUCCAGUACUCCUGCCUUCAGUCUUUCCCAGCAUCAGGGUCUUUUCCAAUGAGUCAGUUCUUCCCAUCAGGUGGCCAAAGGAUUGGAGC
ensembl:lncRNA